rnacentral:rRNA from 1 species
GACGAACGCUGGCGGCGUGCUUAACACAUGCAAGUCGAACGGAAAGGCCCUGCUUUUGUGGGGUGCUCGAGUGGCGAACGGGUGAGUAACACGUGAGUAACCUGCCCUUGACUUUGGGAUAACUUCAGGAAACUGGGGCUAAUACCGGAUAGGAGCUCCUGCUGCAUGGUGGGGGUUGGAAAGUUUCGGCGGUUGGGGAUGGACUCGCGGCUUAUCAGCUUGUUGGUGGGGUAGUGGCUUACCAAGGCUUUGACGGGUAGCCGGCCUGAGAGGGUGACCGGGCACAUUGGGACUGAGGUACGGCCCAGACUCCUACGUGAGGCAGCGGUGGGGAAUAUUGCACAAUGGGCGGAAGCCUGAUACAGCGACGCCGCGUUCGGGAUGACGGCCUUCGGGGUGUAAACCGCUUUCGCCUGUGACGAAGCGUGAGUGACGGUAAUGGGUAAAGAAGCACCGGCUAACUACGUG